GUCUACGGCCAUGCCACUCUGAACAAGCCUGAUCCCGUCUGAUCUUGGAAGCUAAGCAGGGUCGGGCCUGGUUAGUACUUGGAUGGGAGACCACCUACGAAGACCAGGUACUGUAGGCA
rnacentral:rRNA from 1 species